rnacentral:rRNA from 1 species
AUUGAACGCUGGCGGCAUGCCUUACACAUGCAAGUCGAACGGUAACGGGCCUUCGGGUGCCGACGAGUGGCGAACGGGUGAGUAAUGCAUCGGAACGUACCUUUCAGUGGGGGAUAACGUAGCGAAAGUUACGCUAAUACCGCAUAUUCUGUGAGCAGGAAAGCAGGGGAUCGCAAGACCUUGCGCUGAUUGAGCGGCCGAUGUCAGAUUAGCUAGUUGGUGAGGUAAAGGCUCACCAAGGCGACGAUCUGUAGCGGGUCUGAGAGGAUGAUCCGCCACACUGGAACUGAGACACGGUCCAGACUCCUACGGGAGGCAGCAGUGGGGAAUUUUGGACAAUGGGGGCAACCCUGAUCCAGCCAUGCCGCGUGAGUGAAGAAGGCCUUCGGUUGUAAAGCUCUUUCGGUCCGGGAAGAAAGUACGCAUGGGCGUAAUACCCUCGUGCGGAUGACGGUACCGGCAUAAGAAGCACGGCUAACUACUGCCAGCACG